rnacentral:lncRNA from 1 species
ACUCAAAGCCUUUGUUACACUAUUUAUGACUCACACUUAGUAAUGCUCACCCAAUUACCUUUCCUAGUAUAUCUUCAUCUUGUUAAAGUGUAUGAGAACUGCUUUGGAGAUUCUAAUAAGUCCAAAUGAGCAUUAAAAAAGGAGAGAGAGUAGGAGAAGUAUCUCUUGAGAAAAGGACUGUGUUCUAUUUGAUUGGGAAGUGUUAGAAUGGCAACAGUGACAAAUCCUGUGGCAAAUCUUCAUGCAAAGGAGAGUAAAUUAAGGAAUGCAUUAUAGCUGUUAAAGCAAUCUUAAGGGAAAUCCGAAGCUUCCACUGCAGCACCAUGCUUAGUA